rnacentral:rRNA from 1 species
CCUACGGGUGGCAGCAGUAAGGAAUAUUGGUCAAUGGACGCAAGUCUGAACCAGCCAUGCCGCGUGGAGGAUGAAGGUCCUCUGGAUUGUAAACUUCUUUUAUUUGGGAAGAAACUCCCGAUUUCCAUCGGGAUUGACGGUACCAGAUGAAUAAGCACCGGCUAACUCCGUGCCAGCAGCCGCGGUAAUACGGAGGGUGCAAGCUCAAUCCGGAUAAACGGGGUUUAAAGGGUGCGGUGGUGCGCAGGUAACAUCUCCGGGCUUAACCCGGAAACUGCCAUUGAUACUAUUUGUCUUGAAUACUCUGGAGGUGAGCGGAAUAUGUCAUGUAGCGGUGAAAUGCUUUGAUAUGACAUAGAACACCCAUUGCGAAGGCAGCUCACUACGGAAAUAUUGACGCUGAGGCACGAAAGCGUGGGGAUCAAACAGGAUUAGAUACCCCAGUAGUC